rnacentral:tRNA from 1 species
AGGCAAUUAGUUUAAGGAAAAUUCUUGAUUUCGGCUCAAAUGCUUGUGGUUAAAGUCCACAAUUGCUUA